rnacentral:rRNA from 1 species
UACGAAGGGGGCUAGCGUUGCUCGGAAUGACUGGGCGUAAAGGGCGCGUAGGCGGAUGGCACAGUCAGAUGUGAAAUUCCCGGGCUUAACCUGGGGGCUGCAUUUGAUACGUGUGAUCUAGAGUGAGGAAGAGGGUCGUGGAAUUCCCAGUGUAGAGGUGAAAUUCGUAGAUAUUGGGAAGAACACCGGUGGCGAAGGCGGCGACCUGGUCCGACACUGACGCUGGAGGCGCGAAAGCGUGGGGAGCAAACAGG